rnacentral:tRNA from 1 species
GGGCGAUUAGCUCAGUUGGGAGAGCACCUGCCUUACAAGCAGGGGGUCACUGGUUCGAGCCCGGUAUCGCCC